CCUACGGGUGGCAGCAGUGGGGAAUUUUGCGCAAUGCUCGUAAGAGUGACGCAGCGACGCCGCGUGAAUGACGAAGGCCUUCGGGUCAUAAAGUUCUUUCGACAGGGAAGAAAAUGCAUAUAAGUAACUGUGUAUGUAUUGACGGUACCUGUAUCAGCAGCCCCGGCUAACUCCGUGCCAGCAGCCGCGGUAAUACGGAGGGGGCGAGCGUUGUUCGGAGGGACUGGGCGUAAAGAGCACGUAGGCGGUGGUGUAAGUCAUUAGUCAAAGACUAGAUCUCAACUUUAGUAAGGCUAGUGAUACUAUAAUACUCGAGUAGCAGAGAGGAAUGCAGAAUUCCUGGUGUAGCGGUGAAAUGCGUAGAUAUCAGGAGGAAUACCGUUAGCGAAGGCGGCAAUCUGGCUGGAAACUGACGCUGAGGUGCGAAAGCGUGGGUAGCAAACAGGAUUAGAUACCCCUGUAGUC
rnacentral:rRNA from 1 species